AUGCCGCCGACGACCCCCGUUCCAUCUCUGCCGGAAGAGCUUCUCGAGGAGGUCUUCCUCCACCUCCCGCCGGACGAGCCGGAGCACCUCGUGCGCGCCUCCCUCGCCAGCAAGCUCUGGCUCGGCCUCCUCACCGGCGCUCGCUUCCGCGGCCGCUACCGCGAUUUCCAUGGUGCUCCCCCCAUGCUCGGCUUCCUAUAUACCCUGCCCUUCUUAUGUUCCAGUCCGCUGUCGACAGACCCCCGCCCACACUUCCUCUCCACCACGAAAUUCGCCGCACGCAUUCCCGACCACCUCCGGGGGUACUCGGAGUACGAUGCGCAGGAUUGCCGCCAUGGCCGCGUUCUCGAUCUGGGACCCAGGAUCCUCUUCAUUUGGAACCCAAUGACGGGCUGCUCCACAGAGCUGCCCCCGUCCACAGAAUACAUGGAGGCCGAAAGCAGUGGGGCUGCGGUGCUCUGCGCCGUCACCGGCUGUGACCACCGUGCGUGUCACGAGGGCCCCUUCCGAGUCGUCUUUGUCUACCUGGACCAGGAUGAGGGCGAGGGUGUUUGUGUUGCAUCCGCAACCGUGCUCUUGUCUGAUUCCAGCAAGCGGUCCAAUGGCAAAUGGUGUGAGCCGUGCUCUCGUCUUGAUCUUGUGGAUGAUGCAUUCAUUGAGGCAAGACCCCCAGUCCUCGUCCAAGACGCACUUCACUUCAUGCUUAGGCACUAUGGAUUAUCGUCGUGUAGGAAUUCUCAAGUAUGA
rnacentral:rRNA from 1 species